AUUCCCCUAGUAACUGCGAGUGAAGCGGGAAGAGCUCAAAUUUAAAAUCUGACGGUUUCACCGUCCGAGUUGUAAUCUGGAGAAGCAUUUUCCGCGUUGGACCGUGUACAAGUUUCUUGGAAUAGAAUGUCAUAGAGGGUGAGAGUCCCGUCCAUGACACGGACUACCAAUGCUUUGUGAUAUGCUCUCAAAGAGUCGAGUUGUUUGGGAAUGCAGCUCAAAAUGGGUGGUAAAUUCCAUCUAAAGCUAAAUAUUGGCGAGAGACCGAUAGCGAACAAGUACCGUGAGGGAAAGAUGAAAAGCACUUUGGAAAGAGAGUUAAACAGUACGUGAAAUUGUUGAAAGGGAAACGCUUGAAGUCAGUCGCGUUGGCCGGGACUCAGCCAUGCUAUUUGCUUGGUGUACUUCCUGGUUUUACGGGUCAACAUCAAUUUUGGUCGGUGGAUAAAGGCUGAGGGAAGGUGGCAUCUUCGGAUGUGUUAUAGCCCUUGGUUGUAUACAUUGACUGGGAUUGAGGUCUGCAGCACGCCUUUUGGCCGGGGUUCGCCCACGUAACGUGCUUAGGAUGUUGGCAUAAUGGCUUUAAGCGACCCGUCUUGAAACACGGACCAAGGAGUCUAACAUGCCUGCGAGUAUUAGAGUGGAAAACUCUUGUGCGAAAUGAAAGUGAAAGUUGGGACUCUUCGCGGAGGCACCAACGCCCGGCCCUGAAGUUUACUGACGGUGCUGCGGUAGAGCAUGUAUGUUGGGACCCGAAAGAUGGUGAACUAUGCCUGAAUAGGGUGAAGCCAGGGGAAACUCUGGUGGAGGCUCGUAGCGAUUCUGACGUGCAAAUCGAUCGUCAAAUUUGGGUAUAGGGGCGAAAGACUAAUCGAACCAU
rnacentral:rRNA from 1 species